AACGAACGCUGGCGGCAUGCCUAACACAUGCCAGUCGAACGAGACCUUCGGGUCUAGUGGCGCACGGGUGCGUAACGCGUGGGAACCUGCCCUUAGGUUCGGAAUAACUCCCCGAAAGGGGUGCUAAUACCGGAUAAUGUCUUCGGACCAAAGAUUUAUCGCCUUUGGAUGGGCCCGCGUUGGAUUAGCUAGUUGGUAGGGUAAAAGCCUACCAAGGCGACGAUCCAUAGCUGGUCUGAGAGGAUGAUCAGCCACACUGGGACUGAGACACGGCCCAGACUCCUACGGGAGGCAGCAGUGGGGAAUAUUGGACAAUGGGCGAAAGCCUGACCCAGCAAUGCCGCGUGAGUGAUGAAGGCCUUAGGGUUGUAAAGCUCUUUUACCCGGGAUGAUAAUGACAGUACCGGGAGAAUAAGCUCCGGCUAACUCCGUG
rnacentral:rRNA from 1 species